rnacentral:rRNA from 1 species
UACGAAGGGGGCUAGCGUUGCUCGGAAUUACUGGGCGUAAAGGGCGCGUAGGCGGCGCGGGAAGUCAUCGGUGAAAGUUCAGGGCUCAACUCUGAAUCGGCCGGUGAUACUCUCGUGCUUGAGCACUGUAGAGGCAGGUGGAAUUCCGGGUGUAGCGGUGGAAUGCGUAGAGAUCCGGAAGAACACCGGUGGCGAAGGCGGCCUGCUGGGCAGUAGCUGACGCUGAUGCGCGACAGCGUGGGGAGCAAACAGG